UACAGAGGUCUCAAGCGUUGUUCGGAGUCAUUGGGCGUAAAGGGUGCGUAGGUGGCGCCGUAAGUCAGGUGUGAAAUCUCGGGGCUCAACCCCGAAACUGCACUUGAUACUGCGGUGCUCGAGUACUGGAGAGGAGAUUGGAAUUUACGGUGUAGCAGUGAAAUGCGUAGAUAUCGUAAGGAAGACCAGUGGCGAAGGCGAAUCUCUGGACAGUUACUGACACUGAGGCACGAAGGCCAGGGGAGCAAACGGG
rnacentral:rRNA from 1 species